rnacentral:misc_RNA from 1 species
AGUGUGGCCCAAGGACUAGUCAAAUUGACAUCAGCAGGGAACUUAUAAGAAAUGAGGAAUCUCAAGUCCCACCCAGACCUAAGGAAUCAGAGUCUGCAUUUCAACAAGAUCCCUGGGUGUUGUAAUGAUACACUUGCAGUGUGAGAAGUGUUUCCUUACCUGCCUCUCAUUCUUGUUUGGUGUUCUGUCAGUUGUGGUGUUGGAAUCCAGAGAAGAAAGCAGGUGUGUCAAAGGCUGGCAGCCAAAGGUCGGCGCAUCCCCCUCAGUGAGAUGAUGUGCAGGGAUCUACCAGGGCUCCCUCUUGUAAGAUCUUGCCAGAUGCCUGAGUGCAGUAAAAUCAAAUCAGAGAUGAAGACAAAACUUGGUGAGCAGGGUCCGCAGAUCCUCAGUGUCCAGAGAGUCUACAUUCAGACAAGGGAAGAGAAGCGUAUUAACCUGACCAUUGGUAGCAGAGCCUAUUUGCUGCCCAACACAUCCGUGAUUAUUAAGUGCCCCGUGCGACGAUUCCAGAAAUCUCUGAUCCAGUGGGAGAAGGAUGGCCGUUGCCUGCA